AGAAGAAAAGGUUAACUGGAUUGUAUGAUGUAUUUUCUAGUGGUUUUCAGGAAGAGCUGGCAUCUAUGAAGGCACUCCACUGAGGUUUUCCAGCUGCAGGGUCUCCCCUAUCCAGCACCAGGAGUGGCAAAAUCCCAUCCUUGCCUGGACUCACGGAUUCAAACAUUUACAUUUCUUUCCACUGAAAAGCAAGGUGGAUGCAUUGAUGAUGCCACUGUGUUAAUCAUGGUGUUAAAGCAGAAGAAUGCAUCUUGCCUGUGUCAGCACAAGUGAUUGGCUUGGGAAGACUAUACAGGACCUUGUAUGAGCACAGCUGCAGGUGAUACACCUAUUUCUGCAGGUAUCUACAGUUCCAAACCAGACUUGGGACUUCAGGUAACUCUCAGAAAGGAAAGUCUCUGGCUCAGAGCAAAAGCCACCCUAGGACUGUGGGACUCUCAUUCAUCUGACAGUGGAGGAAAAUCGCCCACAGGAUCCUGGGAGAGGGAUGCUGCUGCUGUGUCUGCACUGAGGCCAUGGCCUGGCCCUGUGGCUGAGGUGUGGAAGGGCUCUGCUCCCACAGAUGAAGGGAUGAGCUGCCUGCAGGAAAUCGCCUGGUUUAGCUUCUUCUCCCUGAUGUUUAUGCAAGGAGCCCAUUGCUGUGCUGUCUGACUCCAGAGUGCCCAUGUGAGGGCUGACAACCCCAAAAGUGCAGUGCCCACAUUCCCAGGGCCAAUUCCCUCUGCCUCACAUAGGCAGGCAGUGUCAAACCAGGUAAGGGGGGAAAUAUUAGAAAUUUAGCAACUUAGCACAUGUGCAAACGUGCCAACAGGCAGGAGUCCUCAGAGCAAUAAGAUAAAACAUUUCAAGUUACAGAACAAAAUAUUUUUUCUGGGGUACUGAAAUACAUGUCUUUAAUGUGCUGUUACUGAGGUUUAGUGGCAAACCAGAAGGCUGUUUAAAAAAUCCUUGCUUCAUGUUGCUGUAGUCCACAUCAUUGCCCAACAUAUCAUGAAAGACAAUAUUAUCCAGCUUUUGAAUUGGUUCAAUACCAAUUACUUUUCUGCUUCAAAUAUCAAGAAGCAUUUUUCAAAAAAAUUGGUUUUGCUUAGGUGUUACAGAAAAUAAAAUUAGCAAACAUCAGAACUCUGUCUUGGGA
rnacentral:lncRNA from 1 species